GUUGACCUCGGAUCAGGUAGGGAUACCGCUGAACUUAAGCAUAUCAAUAAGCGGAGGACAAGAAACCAACCGGGAUUGCCUCAGUAACGGCGAGUGAAGCGGCAACAGCUCAAAUUUGAAAUCUGGCCCCCUGCGGGGUCCGAGUUGUAAUUUGCAGAGGGUGUUUCGGGCGCGGGGCCGGUCUAAGUCCCUUGGAACAGGGCGUCAUAGAGGGUGAGAAUCCCGUCUGCGACUCGGCCGCCAAGCCCAUGUGAAACCCCUUCGACGAGUCGAGUUGUUUGGGAAUGCAGCUCCAAAUGGGUGGUAAAUUUCAUCUAAAGCUAAAUACCGGCCAGAGACCGAUAGCGCACAAGUAGAGUGAUCGAAAGAUGAAAAGCACUUUGGAAAGAGAGUUAAACAGUACGUGAAAUUGUUGAAAGGGAAGCGCUGGCGACCAGACCUGUUGUCGGGUGAUCAUCCGUCAUUCGUGGCGGGGCACUCGCCCGGACGCAGGCCAGCAUCGGUUGCGGCGGCGGGACAACGCGCCCGGGAAUGUAGCUCCCUUCGGGGCGCCUUAUAGCCCGGGCGGGCAUGCCGCCCNCCGGGACCGAGGACCGCGCUUCGGCUAGGAUGCUGGCGUAAUGGUUGUAAGCGACCCGUCUUGAAACACGGACCAAGGAGUCUAACAUCUAUGCGAGUGUUUGGGUGUCAAACCCAUACGCGUAAUGAAAGUGAACGGAGGUGAGAACCCUUAAGGGUGCAUCAUCGACCGAUCCUGAUGUCUUCGGAUGGAUUUGAGUAAGAGCAUAGCUGUUGGGACCCGAAAGAUGGUGAACUAUGCCUGAAUAGGGUGAAGCCAGAGGAAACUCUGGUGGAGGCUCGCAGCGGUUCUGACUUGCUAAUCGAUCGUCAAAUUUGGGUAUAGG
rnacentral:rRNA from 1 species